rnacentral:lncRNA from 1 species
AGUUUUAAGACUGGAAGAUCCUGAGGAAAGUCACUGCUCCCUGCCCUGGGUUCCCAUCCAGGCCACUUUAGAGGCAAGGCUGUACUGCUGAGAAGAGAUUCUAAAUCCAGCUGGAAAAUGUCCCUCAGCAGGACCCACAGAGGAUAACAUUGAAAAAGGCAGUUUGACCUCCAGGUGGAGAGGGACAAGGCCUACUGUGUGAAGAAGAUGGUGGCCUCAUUCCCCUGCAGCUACCAGCUCCACAAGACAGGACAGUGUCCCCAAGAUGUACGUCUCAGCCAGGACCCCCAGAGCAGCCAGAAAAAGAGAUUGAGAGAAGCACACAGCCCCUCCCCAAGAUCCAGAUACAGUUCCAGGAGCUGGAGACACGGUCAGCAGAGUGCUUGCUUCGUGCACGAACUGCUGGGUCUCAUCCCCAGUGCAGAGUAAACUGCAUGGUGGUACACAUCUAUGAUCUCAGCGCUUGGGAGAUAAAGGCAGAAGGAUGGGAAAUUCAAGGUCAUUCUCAACUAUAUUGUAAGUCAGAGCUAACCUGGGCUACACGAGAUUCUGUCUCAGAAAAGAGAAGAGGAGAAGAGGCACCUGGGCCAGAGAUGACCACCUGAGAGCCCAGGCUGGGACUGGGAGGACAGGGGACUUUUGCCUGCAGGGCCCUGGAGCUCAGGCUAGGGAUCGUCCUAACCCCACCCCCCACCCCCAACCCCUGUUGAUUGUAGUCAGAGGGUUUGACCUGAUGUGGGGGCAUGAGGAAGACAUUUUAGUUAAUGGUCUCCAGUCAUGUAUGUACGGAAAGCUGUCAAUACAAUGGUAGCCACACA